rnacentral:pre_miRNA from 1 species
AUUUUGCUGCAACAGAGACUGGUCCAGCAUAAUAUAUUGGAGUUCGGUGCACCUGUGUAUGAACUCCAGCAUAUUAUGCUGGACCGGUAUACUUUGCUGACUCCAGUAUAA